rnacentral:lncRNA from 1 species
AGCAAUUCUCCUGUUCCUGCCUCCCGAGUAGCUGGGAUUACAGGACUUGGAUGUUGUGGGUGAUGGUAUGCAGUGUCCUCCUUCACCUUUGCUUUUUGAUCCUUCACUAACCCUUGAAGAUCAUUUAGUCAAAGAAAUUGCUGAAGACCCAGUGGAUAUUUUGGGCCAGAUGCAGAUGGCUGGAGAUGGGUGCAGAUCCCAGGGAUCUCGAAAUUCUGAGAAAGCCUCUGCACCAUUGUCUCAGAGUGGAUUGGCUACUGCAAAUGGGAAGCCAGAACCCACUUCUAUUAGUUGAUAGUUUGGGGAACCAUUUUACUUUGGUGGAUUUAAAUUUCUCGUUCUUCAAAGAAGUAUUUCUGAUCAUCUCUCACAAAACACAGGCAACCCAGACUACCUUGUUUUUCUUCUGGAUUGAGUAUUAUAGUCAAACGUAAAGCCAAAUUUUGAGGACGUGGACCGUGGGUUUCUUCCCACUCAGGGCAAGGAAGAGAAAGAGAGAUAAUCCCUAUCAAAGCUUCUGGGAUUAUUUGGGACUAUACCUAAAAGGAAAGUGACAUCUUUGUAAUGGGAUUUCCCAAGUCAUGGAUAGAAAUCCACUUAAGUAGCUAGGUGGGAGCUGUCUUUGUGAGUGGUGUCUUUGAGAUACUGAU